AGGACAAACGCUGGCAGAAUGUAUUAGGCAUGCAAGUCGUACGAACCUUCGGGUUAGUGGCGAACGGGUGAGUAACACGUGGGUAACCUGCCUCGUAGUGGGGAAUAACUCGCCGAAAGGCGAGCUAAUACCGCAUAACACCUCUGGUGAGAUUCCAGAUGGUAAAAGCUCCGGCGCUACGAGAGGGGCCCGCGGUCGAUUAGCUAGUUGGUGGGGUAACGGCCUACCGAAGGCGACGAUCGAUAGCUGGUCUGAGAGGAUGGUCAGCCACGACGGGGACUGAGAUACGGCCCCGACUCCGUACGGGAGGCAGCAGCUAAGAACUCGUUGCGACGAAGUGGG
rnacentral:rRNA from 1 species